UACGUAGGGUGCGAGCGUUAAUCGGAGUUACUGGGCGUAAAGCGUGCGCAGGCGGUUCGCUAAGACCGAUGUGAAAUCCCCGGGCUUAACCUGGGAACUGCAUUGGUGACUGGCGGGCUAGAGUAUGGCAGAGGGGGGUAGAAUUCCACGUGUAGCAGUGAAAUGCGUAGAGAUGUGGAGGAAUACCGAUGGCGAAGGCAGCCCCCUGGGCCAAUACUGACGCUCACGCACGAAAGCGUGGGGAGCAAACAGG
rnacentral:rRNA from 1 species